AGACUUUCUAAAAGCAUUUGAUUUGUGUUUUUUAUACACUCAUGAACGAAGGAAAGUUAUACGCCAUUUUGAAUUUUACCUGCUUCUCUUGCAAUUUUACUAGUCAGAAUCUAAUCCAAYCAGUUUUGGGCUUCCUGUUUUAAGAUAAACUGGGAAUGAGUUUAUUUUGAUGAAAUUGAAAAUGGCGGACGAUGAAUCAGAAAAUAAUAUGAUUGUUUUAUAUGUUGAUGCUAGAAAUCAUCUAUGAAUAUUCUUUUGCUCUCUCAACUUUUGCAUACAAGAAAGAAAUGAGUGAGAGUGGACUCGCGAACCGGACUCAAGUCGAACAAAAACUAAAACUGGGAGUAAAUGUGUCAACUGAGAGACAGACUACCAAGCUUUCAUUUUCCUCAUUUUAGCCGUCAACCGUCAAAUGUAGARUCCCCCCAUCUUUUAACAGUAAAGGCAACAAGUUUUGCAGCUUAGCCAUAUCCAUCCAUGAUACAGCCUCCCUUCUUAUAUUUAUAAAAGUUUAUCACACAAAGUGUGCACGUAAAAAAAAAA